CAGCAGCCGCGGUAAUACAGAGGGUGCGAGCGUUAAUCGGAUUUACUGGGCGUAAAGCGUGCGUAGGCGGCUUUUUAAGUCGGAUGUGAAAUCCCUGAGCUUAACUUAGGAAUUGCAUUCGAUACUGGGAAGCUAGAGUAUGGGAGAGGAUGGUAGAAUUCCAGGUGUAGCGGUGAAAUGCGUAGAGAUAUGGAGGAAUACCGAUGGCGAAGGCAGCCAUCUGGCCUAAUACUGACGCUGAGGUACGAAAGCAUGGGGAGCAAACAGGAUUAGAUACCCCCGUAGUCCCUGUCUCUUAUAA
rnacentral:rRNA from 1 species